rnacentral:rRNA from 1 species
GACGAACGCUGGCGGCGUGCCUAAUACAUGCAAGUAGAACGCAGUUGCGAACGGGUGAGUAACGCGUAGGUAAAUGCCUCAUAGCGGGGGUUAACUAUUGGAAACGAUAGCGAAAACCGCAUACUGUGAGCUGGACCUGCGUUUUUUUAGGUAGUUGGUGAGGUAAAGGGUCACCAAGGCGACGAUACAUAGCCGACCUGAGAGGGGUUUCGGCCACACUGGGACUGAGACACGGCCCCGACCCCUACGGGAGGCCGCAGUAGGGCGUCUACGGCAAUGGGCGGAGGGCUGACCGGGCACCGCCGCGUGAGUGAAGAAGGUGUUCGGGUCGUAAAGCUCUGUUGUUAGAGAAGAGGUAACUAGCCAGAAAGGUACGGCUAACUACGUGCCAGGCGCCGCGGUAAUUC